UACGUAGGGGGCAAGCGUUGUCCGGAAUUAUUGGGCGUAAAGAGCUCGUAGGCGGUGUGUCACGUCGUUCGUGAAAACCUGCAGCUUAACUGUGGGCGUGCGGUCGAUACGGGCAUCACUGGAGUUCGGAAGAGGAGAGUGGAAUUCCUGGUGUAGCGGUGAAAUGCGCAGAUAUCAGGAAGAACACCCGUGGCGAAGGCGGCUCUCUGGGACGGUACUGGACGCUGAGACGCGAAAGCGUGGGGAGCGAACAGG
rnacentral:rRNA from 1 species